UUUGAAGAGAGAGUUCAAGAGUACGUGAAACUGCUCAGAGGCAAACGGGUGGGCCCUCGAAAUCCUUCUUGCGGGGGAUUCAGUCGUGACGCCGAAGUGCGGCGACCGUCGCAUGACCAGAGGCGUCGAGACAGGCGUCCGCGACGGUGCCGCGGUGCGCAGGCGGAGCGACGCACUUCCCACCGCACUUAUCAGGACGCCGCAGCCGGUCGGUGCAGCAGCGCGAGUCGGCCGAGAGGACCCGCGCGGCAGGUGGCGGGGGAGCCGUCCAGCACGGUCUCUUCCGAUUCUAGCCGCCAGUGUUCCGAGGCGCGACGCCCGACCGAGGACGGAGUCUGCUCCCCCUUUUUCCCCUCGGGGAGGGGGGGCGCGGACGUAGCCACGCACUCGCCAUGAGCGAGCGGGGCGAGCGCGACGGGAGCUGCCAGUCGAGCGGGUGCACACCUGUGGAGGUGACCCAGCCUUCGAGUUCUCCUAUGUCGUCGUGCCGCCAACCGCGGACGUGUGUCGAUGGCUUGCGGCGAGUAGGUCGGUCACCCACCCGACCCGUCUUGAAACACGGACCAAGGAGUCUAACAUGUGCGCGAGUCACGGGGUCUUGAACAGGCCCAGAGGCGCAAUGAAAGUGAAGGGCCGCGUGCAGACCGUGAGGCAAGCGCGCGCGCCCGAGUUGGGAUCCGGGGAGCGAAGCUUCUCUCCGGCGCACCAACGACCCGUCCCUCGCAGCUCGCUGUCGGGGCGGAGUCUGAGCGUACACGUUGGGACCCGAAAGAUGGUGAACUAUGCCCGGGCAGGACGAAGCCAGAGGAAACU
rnacentral:rRNA from 1 species